ensembl:lncRNA
AAGCUGAGGACACUGCCUGUGGCUUUGGCAAGCGCUGGUGAUUCACUGCUGAGUUCUCUGGAAACUCUGCAUUCCUCCUCAGUCUGUAAGAUCCUCAGACCGGGAAAAGAACUCGUGUCGGACAUUUCUCCUUCAUAUCUCUUACAUUUCUCUUAACACUUUGUUUUUCAGGUUCUGUCGUUCUUUUACCUUUGUUUCUUUCAUUCAAGCUGGUCAGCGCAACUAAGUGCCCCACCUCCUGUGGUUACAAGUGGCCAAUGCCGUCCUGCUCCAGCCAUCCAUGGCGCCGCUUGUAGCAGGCCAUUCCUCAAAGUGUCAGGAGGACGAGGCUUUUUUGACGGUGCAUCCACAGAGCUGAGCAGAGAGUCUGCACUCACGGGCCUUUCUAGAUGACCUUUGCUCUCACCGCUCCCUCUGAAGAUAACCCUUUUGGGCCACAUGGGCUUCAUGGCACUGUACUGCAUCCUGUGUCUGGUCAUGCCGACUCUUUUGCAUGGAGAGAUCACGCUGGCCUGCGUGCGUGAGCACAGCCCCUUCAUCUGUGUGUGCACACAGGACCUGGUAGCGUGCAGCAUCAUCAAUUCCAGCGAGUGUGACUGCGUUGACCACCCACUCUCCAUGCCACAGCAGGGCUUUCAUUCUGAGACUUCUAAGACUGGAGAAGAUCCUCACUGCCCAAUUACGAUUCCUGCUAUUGGCCAGUAUCACAUUGGCCUGGGUUUUCCGAAAGCAUAUCAGUGCAUAAUGGCUCAUUUUAUGUCCACAUCUUUGAUGAAUAAGGUCUACUGUACUUUUAAUACUUAAACAAUCUAAAUUAUUGUCAAUAACACCAAUAAUAUUAACAGUAACAGUAAAGAAUAACAAUGAUAAUACUGAUAAAUUUGCACACAGCACUUUUUGUGCAUGCACUUCCUUUUUUACGUGCACAGUGUUAUAAACAAAUGUUGCAUCUACAUGUUCACUGCAAAGACUUUGGCUUUAUACUACUGAUACAGUAAAUAACUACUGCCCUAAUGUAUGAACACAGCAUACUUAGUUCUGCAGAAGCUCAUAUGCUGUAAUAUUACUGCUCAAACAGGCAGUGUUUUAUGAAAAAUAAACACUCCAUCAGCUGAGAAAGACAUAUUUGUUAAUUUCAUAUUUUAUAUUUUUAUAUUUUUCAAUCAUUGUAAUUUUAACACUAUAAAGACAUUGAAAUUCUGACAUGGUUUUGGGGUUGGGGGGGUUCAGGUAUGGGACUGGAGGGGGCAGUGUACCACCUGCUUCACCUCAAACUCCACCAACCACUGGCUGAAGAGCUGCUGAAUACUUUUUGGCCUCACUGUCAAAACAUUUGCACAAAUUAGGGAGCACUUCAUGUACAGUACUGUGUGAAAGUUUUAGGCUUCUAAGCAAAUUUUAAACAAUUUACCUCAGCAGUGAGUUUAUCACAAUACACAUUAGAAUAAAGUCACAUUCCUAAAUUCAUUUAAAUAAACAUAAAACAAUAAAAAGUAACAAGAAUUUCUUGGGCCAUAUUUUCUUUGACACCUUCACAGCCGCCACAGAGACCUGUUAAUAUCAUCAAUUACAUCAUGAGCACAAUUUAAUGACACACUGAUUGGUCAAAUCAGGAGCUGCUUUUUAACUACAUAUAAUACUGGACUUCCUCGAGGAGAGGUUUGAAAAUGGUUAAACAAACACACUAAAAUCCAG